GACGAACGCUGGCGGCGUGCUUAACACAUGCAAGUCGAACGGAAAGGCCCGGUGUUUGUGGGGUGCUGGAGUGGCGAACGGGGGAGAAUCACGCGUGUGACCUGCCCUUGUCAUUGGGAGAACUUCAGGAAACUGGGGUUAUAAUCGGACAGGAGCACCUUCAGCAUGGUGGGGGUGGGUGAGAUACGGCGGUUUGGGAUGGACUGGCGGCUCAUCAGCUUGUUGGCGGGGUGGUGGCUUACCAAGGCUUCGACGGGUGGCCGGCCUGAGAGGGUGACCGGCCCCAUUGGGCCUCAGAUACGGCCCAGACUCCUACGGGAGGCAGCAGUGGAGAAUAUUGCACAAUGGGCGGAAGCCUGAUGCAGCGACGUCGCGUGCGGAAUGACGGCCUUCAGGUUGUAAACCGCUUGAGCCUGUGACGCAGCGUGAGUGACGGUAAUGGGUAAAGAAGCAACGGCUAACUACGUG
rnacentral:rRNA from 1 species